rnacentral:rRNA from 1 species
AACGUAGGAGACAAACGUUAUCCGGAGUUACUGGGCGUAAAGGGCGUGUAGGUGGUAGUGUAAGUCUGGCGUGAAAUUUUUCGGCUUAACCGGGAAAGGUCGUCGGAUACUGCACAACUAGAGGACGGUAGAGGCGUGUGGAAUUCCGGGUGUAGCGGUGGAAUGCGUAGAGAUCCGGAAGAACACCGGUGGCGAAGGCGGCCUGCUGGGGUGGAGCUGACGCUGAGGCGCGACAGCGUGGGGAGCAAACAGG